CAGGUCCUAGCCAUGAACUCCUCUGGAGGAGGAAGGCAGGAAGCAGCAGGCCCCAGGGGUAGAAGGGCCUUCAGACCCCGGGAACAGGACCGAGACGUGCAGCUGUCCAAGGCUCUGUCCUAUGCCCUGCGCCAUGGGGCCUUGAAGCUGGGGCUUCCUAUGGGAGCCGGUAAGUAGGGGCUUUGGAGGCUGGGGCUUGAGCCCAGAGAGAAACAAGAGCCUGUCUGUGACCUCUCCCCCACGGCUGCCUCCACUGCUCCCUGAGGAAGGCACAGAGGGCACUUCUUCCCCAUGCACAGAGGAGAGCAAGGCCUAGAGACACUGUCAUGCCCACAGCAGACCGAGGAGAGCUCUUGUCUGGGCCAGGCCUGGCAAUGCCCUCUCCAGCUAAGCAGCCAGAUCAGCACUUACCUCGAAGGUGUGCCCUGGAGGGUAUAGGGCACCUGGUGUUGAGAGUGUGCACUCACCUCCCUGCCCCUCUGUGAGGCAGAUCCUCUUUCUGUGUAAGUUGAAAUAACGGGCCCAGAAAGGGGAGGCUUUUUUUUUUUUUUUUUUUUUUUUUUUUUU